rnacentral:rRNA from 1 species
GAUGAACGCUGGCGGCGUGCCUAAUACAUGCAAGUCGAGCGAACAGACGAGGAGCUUGCUCCUCUGAAGUUAGCGGCGGACGGGUGAGUAACACGUGGAUAACCUACCUAUAAGACUGGGAUAACUUCGGGAAACCGGAGCUAAUACCGGAUAACAUGUUGAACCGCAUGGUUCAACAGUGAAAGAUGGUCUUGCUGUCACUUAUAGAUGGAUCCGCGCCGCAUUAGCUAGUUGGUAAGGUAACGGCUUACCAAGGCAACGAUGCGUAGCCGACCUGAGAGGGUGAUCGGCCACACUGGAACUGAGACACGGUCCAGACUCCUACGGGAGGCAGCAGUAGGGAAUCUUCCGCAAUGGGCAAAAGCCUGACGGAGCAACGCCGCGUGAGUGAAGAAGGUCUUCGGAUCGUGAAACUCUGUUAUUAGGAAAGAACAAAUGUGUAAGUAACUAUGCACGUCUUGACGGUACCUAAUCAGAAAGCCACGGCUAACUACGUGCCAGCAGCCGCGGUAAUACGUAGGUGGCAAGCGUUAUCCGGAAUUAUUGGGCGUAAAGCGCGCGUAGGCGGUUUUUUAAGUCUGAUGUGAAAGCCCACGGCUCAACCGUGGAGGGUCAUUGGAAACUGGAAAACUUGAGUGCAGAAGAGGAAAGUGGAAUUCCAUGUGUAGCGGUGAAAUGCGCAGAGAUAUGGAGGAACACCAGUGGCGAAGGCGACUUUCUGGUCUGUAACUGACGCUGAUGUGCGAAAGCGUGGGGAUCGAACAGGAUUAGAUACCCUGGUAGUCCACGCCGCAAACGAUGAGUGCUAAGUGUUAGGGGGUUUCCGCCCCUUAGUGCUGCAGCUAACGCAUUAAGCACUCCGCCUGGGGAGUACGACCGCAAGGUUGAAACUCAAAGGAAUUGACGGGGACCCGCACAAGCGGUGGAGCAUGUGGUUUAAUUCGAAGCAACGCGAAGAACCUUACCAAAUCUUGACAUCCUCUGACCCCUCUAGAGAUAGAGUUUUCCCCUUCGGGGGACAGAGUGACAGGUGGUGCAUGGUUGUCGUCAGCUCGUGUCGUGAGAUGUUGGGUUAAGUCCCGCAACGAGCGCAACCCUUAAGCUUAGUUGCCAUCAUUAAGUUGGGCACUCUAAGUUGACUGCCGGUGACAAACCGGAGGAAGGUGGGGAUGACGUCAAAUCAUCAUGCCCCUUAUGAUUUGGGCUACACACGUGCUUCAAUGGACAAUACAAAGGGUAGCGAAACCGCGAGGUCAAGCAAAUCCCAUAAAGUUGUUCUCAGUUCGGAUUGUAGUCUGCAACUCGACUGCAUAAAGCUGGAAUCGCUAGUAAUCGUAGAUCAGCAUGCUACGGUGAAUACGUUCCCGGGUCUUGUACACACCGCCCGUCACACCACGAGAGUUUGUAACACCCGAAGCCGGUGGAGUAACCUUUUGGAGCUAGCCGUCGAAGGUGGGACAAAUGAUUGGGGUGAAGUCGUAACAAGGUAGCCGUAUCGGAAGG